UCUGUCUAGUCGGAUGUGAAAUCCCCGGGCUCAACCUGGGAACUGCAUUCGAAACUGGCAAGCUAGAGUCUUGUAGAGGGGGGUGGAAUUCCCUGUGUAGCGGUGAAAUGCGUAGAUAUCUGGAGGAAUACCGGUGGCGAAGGCGGCCCCCUGGACUGAUACUGACGCUCAGGUGCGAAAGCGUGGGGAGCAAACAGGAUUAGAUACCCUGGUAGUCCACGCCGUAAACGAUGUCGACUUGCAGGUUGUUCCCUUGAGGACUGGCUUCCGGAGCUAACGCGUUAAGUCGACCGCCUGGGGAGUACGGCCGCAAGGUUAAAACUCAAAUGAAUUGACGGGGGCCCGCACAAGCGGUGGAGCAUGUGGUUUAAUUCGAUGCAACGCGAAGAACCUUACCUAGUCUUGACAUCCACUGAACUUUCCAGAGAUGCUUUGGUGCCUUCGGGAACCUUGAGACAGGUGCUGCAUGGCUGUCGUCAGCUCGUGUUGUGAAAUGUUGGGUUAAGUCCCGCAACGAGCGCAACCCUUGUCCUUUGUUGCCAGCGGUUCA
rnacentral:rRNA from 1 species